rnacentral:rRNA from 1 species
CCUACGGGAGGCAGCAGUGAGGAAUAUUGGUCAAUGGACGAGAGUCUGAACCAGCCAAGUAGCGUGAAGGAUGACUGCUCUAUGGGUUGUAAACUUCUUUUAUAUGGGAAUAAAAUGUUCCUCGUGUGGGAUUGUGUAUGUACUAUAUGCAUAAGGAUAGGCUAACUCCGUGCCAGCAGCCGCGGUAAUACGAAGGAUACAGGCUUUACCCGGAUUAAUUGGGUUGCAAGGGUGCGUAGGCGCGCUUUUGGGUCAGCGGUAAAAAUUCGGGGUUAAACCCCGUCCGGCCGUUGAAACUGGGAGCCUUGAGUGGGCGAGAAGAAAGUGGAAUGCGUGGUGUAGCGGUGAAAUGCAUAGAUAUCACGAAGAACCCCGAUUGCGAAGGCAGCCUUCCGGCGCCCUACUGACGCUGAGGCACGAAAGUGCGGGGAUCGAACAGGAUUAGAUACCCGGGUAGUC